rnacentral:misc_RNA from 1 species
AACACUGUUAACCUGCGGUACCUGCGGAAGGAUCAUUAAAAAGAGUGUGUACCCCUCUGUAAAAUGAGUGGGUUACCUCCCGUCCUUUGUUGACCUCUUAGGAGGUUAUUUUGAACUUUCUGCUUCGGUGGGGUUAAACCUACCGGAACACCCUCAAAUUCUUAUCAUUUAAAAAUUGUUCAGUCUGAUUUUUGUUAAUAAAAACAAAAAACUUUUAACAACGGAUCUCAGAUCGGAAGA